CUACAGAGGGUGCGAGCGUUAAUCGGAAUUACUGGGCGUAAAGCGCGCGUAGGCGGCUUGGUCAGUCGGAUGUGAAAGCCCCGGGCUCAACCUGUGAAUGGCAUUCGAUACUGCCAGGCUAGAGUAUGGGAGAGGGAAGUGGAAUUUCCGGUGUAGCGGUGAAAUGCGUAGAUAUCGGAAGGAACACCAGUGGCGAAGGCGACUUCCUGGCCCAAUACUGACGCUGAGGUGCGAAAGCGUGGGGAGCGAACAGGAUUAGAAACCCGAGUAGUCC
rnacentral:rRNA from 1 species